GUGGUGGAGUGCUUGCCUGGCAUUCUUGUGGCCCUGGGUUUGAACUCCAGAACCACCAAAAAAAAAAAAAGUAUAAUUAAUAAGCUGUCAGUCAUGAAAUCUAAUUGAAAAUGUGGAAACCAAAACUUUGAUCAUAAUGGAAAAAACUUCUUUAAAUUGUAGAGGGUAACAAAUUUAGUGGGUUUUAACUUCUUUCACCAUAGAACAAGAAUUUUCCAAUUGUAUUCAAAUGAGACUGUAGUGAUUAUAGAGUAUUACCCUUUAAAAAUUUCCCCAAUUUUAAGUUAAUUGUUGUAAAGGUAUUGUAUUCUUUUACAAGAACUUUUAGUAAAGUCUUGUAACUUAAAUCUACUGUAUUAAUAUAAGCCAUUUGUUAUUUUUUGGAAAAAAAAUUAUUUGAUAGUCUAUAAAUUGCUUAAGAAUUUCAUCCACCCCUCCCCCACCUUUUUAGUCUUAUUCUCUCUUUACUUAUAUCCAGAACAUAAUCUUAAAAUAAUCUUUUAUGGUAAUGAUGAUCAAUAAUCUUUUAUGGUAAUGAUGAUCACUUGUAAUCCACUGAGCCAUGUUUUGUUUGUUUGGGGUUUUUUGACAAAGCUAAAAGCCUGAAACAAUUCUCUCUCAUCUUAUCCCUGUGUAUAUAUGUAUGUAUUAAAAAAUAGAAACAAAACGCAGAGAUAACCAUUAAUAUUUUCCCUUUGAUGGAUGUACAUAAAUACAUGUUUAUUCCCCCCUUGGACUAAUGGGACUAUACUGCUCAUAACUUUGUAAUUUGAUUUUUUUAAUUUAUAAUAUAUUGUGGACAUCUUUCUAUGUCAGCCAAUUAAACUACCUAUCUUCUUUUUAAUGGUUAUAAGUUAUUCCUUUAUGGAACUAUAACUUAGCAAUUACUUAUUCCCAUACAAAACUUUUACGUUACAAAUAAUGUGAAAGUACACGUAUUCAAGCAUUCAUAAUUUCCU
rnacentral:lncRNA from 1 species